GUACAAUGUCCUACAUCGCUUAGAA
rnacentral:siRNA from 1 species